AAAUGGGGCAGAGUUCAGAGCAGGGAAGCAGUCUCAGCAUGCAAUCCUGUGUGUGUCAAGGGUUGUCACAAAAGCAAGACUGAUUCAUGGUUCCAUUCAUUCCUCUGGCCAUUCACGCUUCACUCCUUUAGCUCUCCCCAGUGUCAUCAGCAGGUCAGGAUCUGGACAGGCAGGGCAGCCUUGAGGAAUAGUACACAGACCUGCAGGACAAGUGAAGGUUGCACAGUCUUCAAGAUGGGGCUGGGGUAUCCAGGAUGCCAGGAAUUCCAGAAGAGGACCACCAGCAAGCAGGUCCUGCCUCUUGCUCCUGGCAUUUCCUCCCUCUCAGUGGCCUUCCCUCAUCCCAGCCCGGCCUCUCAUGAAGCCACCUCUCACUCUGUGGGGAAGCCUCCAGCCUUUAUCUGAACACCUGGGCUCAGCUAUGCCCCCUUGAUACUGAGGUAAAUCAUGAGCCUGGCCUCUCACUGUGG
rnacentral:lncRNA from 1 species